rnacentral:lncRNA from 1 species
GUUUUUCCUCUUCUCCUCUCAAAACCCUUUCUUUUUCCCGCAGCCCACCAAACCAGUCUCAGAAAAACGACGAUCUUGAACCCGUUCACCGUUGGAUCGUCGUGAAAUUUGAGUAUCAUGUUCGCAACAUAAUUCCGAGAAUUAUCACCGUCGGGAAUUUCGAUAUCAUGUCUGAAAUGAGAGAAAAAUCCUUCGUAUUGUAGCCUUUUUCUUUCCCGCAGAAACCCAGAGCUGUCUUGGUAAAACUACGAUCCCGAUUUCAUUAACCGUUGGAUUAUUGUGAAAUUUGGAUAUGUUGUUCGAAAUUCAAUUCCGCACGCUUCCACCGUUGGGAUUUGCGAGAUAAUAUUCGUGGAGGGAGAAAAAGGAAUCGUAUGAAGACAGUACAAGUGGAGGUUUCAAUCUCUUCUCCGUCUCUCUGACGUUUGGGAAUUCUAUCGGAACAGUCGGAUGAAUAAUUGAAAGAAUUUCCGGGAACCGCUAGAGAUGUUGCUAUCACUGGCUGAAGACACGUGAGCCCGCUUAGAGGUAAGGGAUGAGUUAUUCACAGUCGGGGAUUAGUGAGAACAUGUGUAGGGAUCCUUAGAGGAUUAAAUUGGGAUUUUAUUUUGGGAUGUUUGUUAAAUUGCAAUUUUUCCUUUAUGAUUAUAAAUAAAAUAUUGAUGUCCUGAUGAAAAUUGCUUGAUAAAUUGUGCCCUUGAUAUUUGUAUAUUUGGACCUACGAUUUGGAUAUAAUUGUGUAAUAUUAUUUGAGGGGUUUUAGUCCUCAUGUUGUGAUAGUCUUUUAUAUAAAUUGUUAUAUUGAGGAUAUGAAAUGAUAAUUCAAAUUGUGAGUAUGUGAUGAAUUGAAGAAUAACAUGUUGCUUUGAGAUUAUAAUAUUGUUAUUGAGAUUGAGUAUAAGUGUAAAGUUGAACAUGUGUUAAUUUGUGAGAUACGUGUAAACAUGUGAUGGUGGAUUGUGACACUAUGAGAUGUGAAAUUGUGAAUGAGUUCUAGUUGUGGAUAAGUGUGUAGUUAACACUUGAUGUGAAAUUACUUGUGUUGUAAGCUAUGAAUUGUACAAUACCCGACCAGCGUUAUCUUGAGAAAAGCGUGGAUGCGCAGUGUUAAAGAGAAAAUGUAGGUUUCCUAUUUAGGAACCAGUGUUAAAUCGUAGCGCAAUUGUGUUGAACGUGUUUAAAACACGAGUGUAAGGUCGUGGGUAUUGUAUAAUUCAUGAACAGUGUCUGCAUGUAAAAAAAAAAUUUAUUUUAGGGGUUGGACCUGAAUCAGGAGGAAGAGGCCCUGACGGACUCUUUAGAGUGUAGGCCUUGGGGGUCACCGGGUUUGAGUGCUCCUUUAAGCCUAUGCUGAUCUCAUAUGGUUGGAGCAUUCUCGCAAAACAUCGUGACCCUGACUGGUCUCCCUAUGAUCUUACUUAGUGAGAGUGACCUGACAAACCCAUUGUGUGGUGUGUCUUGUUAUGUACUCCUAAGCGCCCUAUGGUGGUUUUUCACUGACAUGGUACCACAUUGCAUAUAGAAUUGAGUCUUAGCAUAACUAUUGCAUAUGCUUGCUAAUUGAUGUGUUAUUAUAUCUUGAUCGAAGUGUGGGAUUCUUGUGUAAUGUGAUUGAUAAUUGAAAAGUGAAUUUUGAAUGACGAAGUGGUGAAGUUACGUGAGCUAUGUUUAAGCAAGUGGUAUCUCAUUUAUAUAAUAUGUAUAUUUAAUUGUCUUGUUUCUCUAUUAGCUAGGAAUGUGAUAACUCACUCCCUGUGUGUUGUUGUGUUUGGAUCCUGUGAUGAUCUUGAACUUGUGUUCGGGGGAGCAUAUGAAUAGGGGGAUGACUAUGAAGAACCUCAUGCUAGAGGACACGGAAACACCACGCUCUGAUAGGAUGUGACAUUAAGAUAUAGGUUCUAUAUUAAUUGUAUGAGACUUAUAUGACUUUCUUUGAGUAUAGAUGACUUUAUUAUUUAUUUGGAGAAGUUUGAAUAUGAUGGAGAAGAAAAU